rnacentral:misc_RNA from 1 species
GAGAAGAACGUAUCGAAAUGCGAUACGUAGUGUGAAUUGCAGAAUUCAGUGAAUCAUCGAAUCUUUGAACGCACAUUGCACCUCUCGGUAUUCCGGGAGGUAUGCCUGUUCGAGCGUCAUUUGUACCCUCAAGCUCUGCUUGGUGUUGGGUGUUUGUUCCGCCUCUGUGUGUGAACUCGCCUCAAAACAAUUGGCAGCCGGCGUACUUGUUUCGGAGCGCAGCACAUUUUGCGAUCCAGAUCAACGUACAGCGGCAUCCAAGAAGCCUUAUUUAACGCUCUUGACCUCGGAUCAGGUAGGGAUACCCGCUGAACUUAAGCAUAUCAAUAAGCGGAGGA